rnacentral:tRNA from 1 species
UCCAGCUAACGCACAAGGUGUGCGGACAGACUGUUAAUCUGUUUGAGUUUGGUUCGAUUCCAAAAGCUGGAGCCA